UCAAAGACUCCGGUGUCUGCAGGUCACUGUGAGGUUUUCAGGGCCGCACUCUAGGUCCUCCAGCAGGCUGGGUCUGGGUGUGCGAAGUGGGCUCUGCUGAUCUGGUGGUCCUGCGCGGUAACGGCCACGCAGCCUGGCCGGGAGCCGUCCCUGAGCAGUGGGUCUCAGACUCCACCCAUGGCUGCUCUUUGGUCUCAGGCUGCUGACUGACUGGCGUUUCACCCGAGGCGUGGAAGAGCAGACCAAAGCCUUCCUGGAUGGCUUCAACGAGGUGGCCCCGCUGGAGUGGCUGCGCUACUUUGACGAGAAAGAGCUGGAGCUGAUGCUGUGCGGCAUGCAGGAGAUAGACAUGAGCGACUGGCAGAAGAGCACCAUCUACCGGCACUACACCAAGAACAGCAAGCAGAUCCAGUGGUUCUGGCAGGUGGUGAAGGAGAUGGACAACGAGAAGAGGAUCCGGCUGCUGCAGUUUGUCACUGGUACCUGCCGCCUGCCCGUCGGGGGAUUUGCCGAACUCAUCGGUAGCAACGGACCACAGAAGUUUUGCAUUGACAAAGUUGGCAAGGAAACCUGGCUGC
rnacentral:sRNA from 1 species